CAAAACACACAUCACGACAUGAGACAACACUACAUAAAGAGAGAUCUAAGACAACAACAUAGCAUGGCAGCAACGCAUGACAACAGCAUGGUACAACCAUUAUUGGGCACAGACAACAGCACAAAGGCAAGAAGAGCUUGGGGUUGGAAACGCAUGCUGGACAACGGGCCAACGGUGCCAAGUUUGGCCCGCAGACAUGAAGGUAGAUUUCUGGCUGUAAUGGGUGCCAAGGACCUGAAGUCGACAAUGUGGCAGAUGCUACCUUGCAUUCUGUCAAACAGUCUUGCCAUCACCACCACCUGGGGUGGGAUGAGGCCUGUUUCAGGAACUUGUUUCUGAUGACCAUUCUUCACAGAGCCAUUCGGAAGAACCCUGCAACCCGGGAUGCCAUGGAUGAAGGGGUCCAGAUUCAGAUCACCCAGGAAUCUUUCCCUUCAGUUGGUCCACUUUCACAUUUACCGCUACCCCAGUAAUGGCGGCCCUUUCUUGAGAGCAAAACAAGUCACAUCGCUUGUCCCAAUUGGUUUGGCCCAAAGCACCCCCCGCUCCCUCUGACCAGCAGAAAGAUAAACAAUUAUCACAAGACUACUUCGGGUUACCUUCACCGAUUCCACAGCACCCAACUUUUUCACACACCCUGAAACCACAAAAGGUUCAGCCAAAAGGCAGGGGUCCACUUUCUCCAAAAAUGUCACUCCUACCGUCACAGACUCAUCUUUAUCAUGACCAUUGGUGCAAGCCUCUGGCUCUGAGGACUUCACCGAACCUGCCUCCUCUGAUAAAUCACCAUUAUUCACUUCCAUUUCUCCUCCAGACCUCGAUUCCGGCGUACGGCUCACUCUGCUCCUACUUUCUACCAUUCUUCUUCGACAAACCAUCACCCUUUUCCCCACAAUUUUUACCCAACUCAAGCUCACCCUCUUCCUCCUUCUCUCUCUUUGACCUCCUAUGCCUCUUUUCCCCUCCAUUCCUCCUCUGUAUUCCAAGUAUAUGUAUCCUUAUGAUAAUAUUGUUAUUCUCCUAACAUACAUCUCGUUCUUGCCCUCUCAAGGGAUGCCAUUUUCUACCAGUGUCACUAGUUCUCACUCUCACCUCUUGUGGCUCCAUAGAUUGUACAAAAUAUUUGGAGAACUAACCAAAGAUAGACCAGAGCCUGUCGUUUCCAAUGGGAGCAAAUUAAUCAUAGAGGGCAGAACAAGCAAGGAGUUUGGCAGA